UAAGUUGAUUGAAAGUUUGCAUUGCCACCCAAAUUCUCAUUUAUUUUUAAAAUAAUUAGUUCUUUUUUUAUUAUUAUUACAGAGGAGAUUGAAUAAUAGCCUUUUGAAAUCUAUGCAAAGUGAAACAGCAGAAUCUUCAACAUUGGGAAGAUAAGAAGUUUUCCUCCAGUUAAUUAAAGGAAUAAGAAUUAUGGAACUUUAUAAACAUUUAAUUAUGUCAUUAAGAUUUAAGGAAAAGAGAACUAUUCAGCUUUCAAACACAUGAAAAAAGCACAUUGAAACCAGCAACAUGGAGAAGCUGCUGCUCUCCCCGGGUCACAGCGACACCUUUACAGGUGGGACUCAGAGGUCAUUAGCACUGGGGUGGUUCAUCCUCUGUUCAGCUUCUGUGCCACGACGUAGGCCAGGAAUCCUGCCAGGAGGAGGACUUGGGUCCUGGCUCCUAACCACCCCUGUUGGACUCCAGCUGCCAGCACCGCCCAAAGAAGAGAGCAUGCCGCCCGGCCUUAAGAAAGCUUGCAGCUCCUGAGAGUGGCAGGUUAAAAACCUAUAGGAUGGUUCAAUCAAAGGCAUUCCCUUGCUCCGUCCUGUGCCGCUAUUGUACGUUGGAACACAUGCUGCUAGGAGACAAAGAGGACAUGCGCUUAUUUUCAAGCGUAGGACUUUGGA